rnacentral:rRNA from 1 species
UACGUAGGGGGCGAGCGUUGUCCGGAUUCAUUGGGCGUAAAGCGCUUUAAGGCGGUUCGCUAAGUCGCGUGUGAAACCUCCAGGCUCAACCUGGAGACGCCACGCGAUACUGGCGUGACUAGAGUUCGGUAGGGGAUCACGGAAUUCCUGGUGUAGCGGUGGAAUGCGCAGAUAUCAGGAGGAAUACCCAUAGCGAAGGCAGCUCGCUGGGACGGUACUGACGCUAAGGCGCGAAAGCGUGGGGAGCGAACAGG